GUCCACGCUGUAAACGAUGAGUGCUAGGUGUCGUGGGUAUUGACCCCCGCGGUGCCGAAGCUAACGCAUUAAGCACUCCGCCUUGGAAGUACGGUCGCAAGACUAAAACUCAAAGGAAUUGACGGGGGCCCGCACAAGCGGUGGAGCAUGUGGUUUAAUUCGACGCAACGCGCAGAACCUUACCUUGGCUGGAAAGUGUUUGGAAGUCUGGUGAAAGCCGGAUGUGCCCGCAAGGGAGCCAAGUGACAGGUGCUGCAUGGCUGUCGU
rnacentral:rRNA from 1 species